rnacentral:rRNA from 1 species
UACGUAGGUGGCAAGCGUUGUCCGGAUUUACUGGGUGUAAAGGGCGUGUAGCCGGGCUGACAAGUCAGAUGUGAAAUCCGGGGGCUCAACCCCCGAACUGCAUUUGAAACUGUUGGUCUUGAGUAUCGGAGAGGCAGGCGGAAUUCCUAGUGUAGCGGUGAAAUGCGUAGAUAUUAGGAGGAACACCAGUGGCGAAGGCGGCCUGCUGGACGACAACUGACGGUGAGGCGCGGAAGCGUGGGGAGCAAACAGG